rnacentral:rRNA from 1 species
GUCGACGCUGAAGCCUGGUGCUUGCACCGGGUGGAUGAGUGGCGAACGGGUGAGUAACACGUGAGUAACCUGCCCCUGACUUCGGGAUAAGCCCGGGAAACUGGGUCUAAUACCGGAUACGACUGCCGGACGCAUGUCUGGUGGUGGAAAGUUUUUUCGGUUGGGGAUGGGCUCGCGGCCUAUCAGUUUGUUGGUGAGGUAAUGGCUCACCAAGACGACGACGGGUAGCCGGCCUGAGAGGGCGACCGGCCACACUGGGACUGAGACACGGCCCAGACUCCUACGGGAGGCAGCAGUGGGGAAUAUUGCACAAUGGGGGAAACCCUGAUGCAGCGACGCAGCGUGCGGGAUGACGGCCUUCGGGUUGUAAACCGCUUUCAGCAGGGAAGAAGCGCAAGUGACGGUACCUGCAGAAGAAGUACCGGCUAACUACGUGCCAGCAGCCGCGGUAAUACGUAGGGUACGAGCGUUGUCCGGAAUUAUUGGGCGUAAAGAGCUCGUAGGUGGUUGGUCACGUCUGCUGUGGAAACGCAACGCUUAACGUUGCGCGUGCAGUGGGUACGGGCUGACUAGAGUGCAGUAGGGGAGUCUGGAAUUCCUGGUGUAGCGGUGAAAUGCGCAGAUAUCAGGAGGAACACCGGUGGCGAAGGCGGGACUCUGGGCUGUAACUGACACUGAGGAGCGAAAGCAUGGGGAGCGAACAGGAUUAGAUACCCUGGUAGUCCAUGCCGUAAACGUUGGGCACUAGGUGUGGGGGGCAUUCCACGUUCUCCGCGCCGUAGCUAACGCAUUAAGUGCCCCGCCUGGGGAGUACGGUCGCAAGGCUAAAACUCAAAGGAAUUGACGGGGGCCCGCACAAGCGGCGGAGCAUGCGGAUUAAUUCGAUGCAACGCGAAGAACCUUACCAAGGCUUGACAUACACCGGACCGUCCUGGAAACAGGUCCUCUUCUUUGAAGCUGGUGUACAGGUGGUUGCAUGGUUGUCGUCAGCUCGUGUCGUGAAAAGUUUGGGUUAAGUCCCGCAACGAGCGCAACCCUCGUUCUAUGUUGCCAGCAUGUGGAUGGUGGGAACUCAUAGG